rnacentral:rRNA from 1 species
CAAUAGCGUAUAUUAAAGUUGUUGCAGUUAAAAAGCUCGUAGUUGAAUUUUUGCUUGCCGCCGAUGUCGGAACUUCCGUACGUUCGGCGGCGUGCAUCCUUGGGUGGAACCUGUGUGGCAUUAGGUUGUCGUGCAGGGGAUGCUCAUCGUUUACUGUGAAAAAAUUAGAGUGUUCAAAGCAGGCUUACGCUGUUGAAUAUAUUAGCAUGGAAUAAUAAGAUAGGACCUUGGUACUAUUUUGUUGGUUUGCGCACCGAGGUAAUGAUUAACAGGGACAGUUGGGGGUAUUCGUAUUCCAUUGUCAGAGGUGAAAUUCUUGGAUUUCUGGAAGACGAACUACUGCGAAAGCAUUUACCAAGGAUGUUUUCAUUAA